UCCGGUUUCGCACCGGCAGUCUUCUUAGAGUUCCCGGCAUUACCCGAUGGCAACUAAGAACGGGGGUUGCGCUCGUUGCGGGACUUAACCCAACAUCUCACGACACGAGCUGACGACAGCCAUGCAGCACCUGUGCACGCGCUCCGAAGAGCGGCUAUCGUUUCUGAUAACCUUCACGUACAUGUCAAGCCUGGGUAAGGUUCUUCGCGUUGCGUCGAAUUAAACCACAUGCUCCACCGCUUGUGCGGGCCCCCGUCAAUUCCUUUGAGUUUCAACCUUGCGGUCGUACUCCCCAGGCGGGGUACUUCCUGCGUUAGCGCCGGCACUCAGGGGGUCGCUCCCCCAAGCACCUAGUACCCAUCGUUUACGGCGUGGACUAC
rnacentral:misc_RNA from 1 species